GGCUAGGAGGCUGCUCUCUCACCUGCCCUCAUCACGCCAUGAGCGUCCCUCCUGAAACUGUGCUCUCAGUGUAAGAGGGUGACUUUCCUCCAUGGAGGUACCUCUAAGGGUAUAUGAGGGUAUAUUCCCCUGUUAGAGUCUCCAAACAAGCUCUCAAGAAUGCAUGUGGUCUAAAUGAUUAUGUUAUAAUAUGUCAUAUAGAUAGAUAGAUAGAUAGAUAGUUAGUUU
rnacentral:snRNA from 1 species